UACUACACACUACCGUGUGGGUGAGACCCUGCGUUCAGGUUCGAGCCGAGCGGAGCGAGACAGCAACGCGCCAGCGUUGACCCGAAGGGCGAGGCCAGCGGCCGAGUCAUCCCGCACGACCCACCA
rnacentral:sRNA from 1 species